UACGUAGGGUGCAAGCGUUAAUCGGAAUUACUGGGCGUAAAGCGUGCGCAGGCGGUUAUGUAAGACAGAUGUGAAAUGCCCGGGCUUAACCUGGGAACUGCAUUUGUGACUGCAUGGCUAGAGUUUGGCAGAGGGGGGUAGAAUUCCACGUGUAGCAGUGAAAUGCGUAGAUAUGUGGAGGAACACCGAUGGCGAAGGCGGCCAGCUGGGCCGGUUCUGACGCUGAGGCGCCGAAAGCGUGGGGAGCAAACAGG
rnacentral:rRNA from 1 species